AUUGAACGCUGGCGGCAGGCCUAACACAUGCAAGUCGAGCGGAUGACGGGAGCUUGCUCCUUGAUUCAGCGGCGGACAGGUGAGUAAUGCCUAGGAAUCUGCCUGGUAGUGGGGGACAACGUUUCGAAAGGAACGCUAAUACCGCAUACGUCCUACGGGAGAAAGCAGGGGACCUUCGGGCCUUGCGCUAUCAGAUGAGCCUAGGUCGGAUUAGCUGGUUGGUGGGGUAUUGGCCCACCAAGGCGACGAUCCGUAACUGGUCUGAGAGGAUGGACAGUCACACUGGAACGGAGAAACGGUCCAGACUGCUACGGGAGGCAGCAGUAGGGAAUAUUGGACAAUGGGCGAAAGCCUGAUCCAGCCAUGCCGCGUGUGUGAAGAAGGUCUUCGGAUUGUAAAGCUCUUUAAGUUGGGAGGAAGGGCAGUAAGUUAAUACCUUGCUGUUUUGACGGUACCGACAGAAUAAGCACCGGCUAACUCUGUGCCAGCCGCCGCAGUAA
rnacentral:rRNA from 1 species